AAGAGUAAAGUACUUCCGCUUCCUUAGGUGGAGCUGGAAAGGUGGAGGCGGAAGUGACUGAUCAAUUCAGGGGCGUGGGGUUCGUUUAGGUUUUGCCCUGUGUAUGACCUCGUUUGGAGCCAUGAAACCAGGUGGCUUUUCUACAAUAUAAAGAUGGAAAUGGGAAGAAGAUGUUCAUUGCAAAUUAAGGAAGCUCUUCCACGAGUUCACGAAUGGAAAUAACAUCAAGAGUUUUUCAUCUUCUUAGUGUGCAAGAACACAGCAUAGUAUGUGACAUAAAGGCUUGAUGACUGUGUUGAAUGAAUGUAUGUUGUUAUUUUAGGGCAAUGAUGGAAAGCACCAAGUGGAGUCUGGAGCUAGACUGAUCUGUGUUCAAUCCUGUCUUGGUUACUCAUUGGGGGGCCUCGACUUUCAUGUCUCUGUAAUGUCCCUGACAGUAUCUGCCUCACAGGGUUGCUGUGAGAGUCAAGCGAGAUGUCUGAGGAAUAGUCUUAGUGGAUUAUCCCAAACUUGACACAUUUUUUGCAAAAUGCUAUACAAAAAGAAGAUACAUGCGAUUAUGACAAGAUUCUCCACUUGGUGUGACCAGUCUCAUACAACCCAAGGCUGUGUGUCCAAAGGCAACUGUACUGAUCUUGACAAUAAUCAAAAGGUAGCCAGGUGCAUCGGGGAAAGCACUGACAUUGGAGUCAGACAGACUGAAGUUCAUAUCUGAUUCUGCUAUAUGACAACGUGUGGGCUAUGUGGCUAACUUCUCAGAGCUUCAGUUUUCUCAAGGGCAAAAUGAAAAUAAUAGAAAUAAUAGAAUCCACCUCACAGGGCUGUGGUGAGAAUUGGAGAUGAAGCACAUACAGCAUAUUACAUCAACUAAACACAUGCUAAAAAUUAAAGGGGAUGAAAGAUACAUUGGUCCCUGCAGUGGGAAGUUUCCUUGACAAUGCAAUUAUUGAUUCCAGUGAAGGAGCAGCUUUGGCUUACUAUUCAAGCUCGAGGUCAGGGCUUGAAAACUUGAAAAAUGGAAAAAGGAUUAAGAGAACCUUAUAUUCCUGAAUAGCAAAGGAAGAAGCAACAAUUCUUCUGAAAUCUCAUAGUCGAAAGCUAAAGACAGGGGCCUAGGUCAAGCUCAAAGUCACUUACAGGACGUGAAAAUCACCUCGGAUUUAAUCUAGGCUUAGCAGCUACAGGAAAAGAACUGAAGAAAGGCCUUGUUUUAUGUUUUCUGACAGUAAAAUGAAAUAAAACGUGGAAUAUUAUAGAAAGGAUUUUGUAAGUGAAAGGGAGUGGUUGAGAAGAGGCAAAGUGAGUGUUGGAAAGGAUAUUGAAACUUGAAGAAGGCUGGAAGAAGAGGUCAAGGGAAUCCUAUGACUGAAAGCAGCAUCAGAGACACAAACAUACUGAUCUUGGAGCCCUGCAAAUACAUCUCUUUAUAUUGAACAUUUUGAGUCUUUUUCUAUUCCUAGGUGUGUUUACUAAAUUAUACAAGUCUGCUAAUACCAAUUAUCCUAUAAAUGCCCUUCUUAAUUCUUAAAAU
rnacentral:lncRNA from 1 species